GAGCGGCAGCGCGGGGGCAACCCUGGCGGCGAGCGGCGCACGGGUGAGUAAUGCAUCGGAACGUGUCCUCUUGUGGGGGAUAACCAGUCGAAAGACUGGCUAAUACCGCAUGAGCACGAGAGUGGAAAGCGGGGGACCGUAAGGCCUCGCGCGAGAGGAGCGGCCGAUGCCGGAUUAGCUAGUUGGCGGGGUAAUGGCCCACCAAGGCGACGAUCCGUAGCUGGUCUGAGAGGACGACCAGCCACACUGGGACUGAGACACGGCCCAGACUCCUACGGGAGGCAGCAGUGGGGAAUUUUGGACAAUGGGGGCAACCCUGAUCCAGCCAUGCCGCGUGUGUGAAGAAGGCCUUCGGGUUGUAAAGCACUUUCGGACGGAACGAAAUCGCACGGGCGAACAUCCCGUGUGGAUGACGGUACCGUAAGAAGAAGCACCGGCUAACUACGUG
rnacentral:rRNA from 1 species